UACGUAGGGUGCAAGCGUUGUUCGGAGUGACUGGGCGUAAAGGGCGCGUAGGCGGGCCUGUAAGUCGGUUGUGAAAUCCCAGGGCUUAACCCUGGAACUGCAGUCGAAACUACAGGUCUUGAAUGCCUGAGAGGUUAGUGGAAUUCUUGGUGUAGGAGUGAAAUCCGUAGAUAUCAAGAGGAACACCGGAGGCGAAGGCGGCUAACUGGUGGUGCAUUGACGCUGAAGCGCGAAAGCGUGGGGAGCAAACAGG
rnacentral:rRNA from 1 species